GUCGGGUCCGAGGCAGAGCGGUGUGGAGCCCGCGCUACAGAAAAGCGAACGUGUAGGGGGAGAGGAACUGCAAAAGGGCAAAGUUAAGGAAAGUUCGCCGCAGUUGCCAGUGUGCAUAGAGCUUUGCUGGCUGGGGCCCCUGGAGACCCGUGGAGGAGUGAAGACGCUGUGAAAUAGGCGCACAGUCUUGAGCAGAAGCGAAGGGCAACACCCCGGCGUGGAAAGCCAAGACACUGUGGCAGAAAAAUAAAAUGACCUACAUGAAAGAUCUCUGCGAGUGAGAUCCCAGUGGAAAGAACAGGUCAUCAAAGAAGGAGGUACCUUUCUCUGAAGGGAGGAGUGAACUUCCACUUUGACUAUGACCUUGUCUAAAUAUGAUCAGAGACGGCGAACUCAAAAGGCCUCCAUAGCCUUGGCAAUUCAUGACAAGAGCCUAGGGUGAUUACUGAUGCCAUAAACGAGAGUGUCAAUUUGUUAAGUCAACAACAGGAGUCACUGUGCACUUACUCCCCAUGUAGGAUCUCUGUCCUAAAUGUGCUGUACAUUGUGAUUUAACACUAUAACUAGUACUCAAAUAGUAUUUUACACUUUGUGUUUCUGUGUGGGUGCCAACUGUUGAAAUCUUUAAUUAAUGUAUACUAAACUGAUCUUCUGUAUAUAA